rnacentral:rRNA from 1 species
CAUUAGUGGGUUUAGUAGGCUGGCACGCUUGCGCGUGUUGUACGGCCUCUCUUUAAUCUAUCAUUAGACUCUCCUGUCUUUGCAUGUUGAGUAUGAUGUUAUAUAACCUUACACAACUUUCAACAAUGGAUCUCUUGGCUUUCGCAUCGAUGAAGAACGCAGCGAAUGUGCGAAACGUAAUGUGAAUUGCAGAAUUCAGUGAAUCAUCGAAUCUUUGAACGCAUCUUGCGCUCCUUGGCAUUCUGAGGAGCAUGCCUGUUUGAGAGUCAUGUGUUGACUCAAACUCCCACCCCUUGGGGUGUGUGGUUUGGAUUUGGAUGCCUGCGGUGUUAUCUCUCACCACCGCUCAUCUUGAAAUGCAUUAGAUGGUUGCCCCCGAGGUGAUUGUUUUCUUUGAUAAGUGUUUGAAAGGAACACUCGCCUUGGGGCAUGUAACACGCCCCUCUGACCUCAAAUCAGGUAGGACCACCCGCUGAACUUAAGCAUAUCAAUAAGCGGAGGAAAAGAAACUAACAAGGAUUCCCUUAGUAACUGCGAGUGAAGAGGGAUGAGCUCAAAUUUGAAAUCUGGCGGUGCCAUUUGAACCGUCCGAGUUGUAGUCUGGAGAAGCGUUAUCGGCGCCGGACCGUGUAAAAGUCCCUUGGAACAGGGCGUCGCAGAGGGUGAGAAUCCCGUCUCUGACACGGACUGCCGGGGCUGUGUGAUGCGCUCUCGAAGAGUCGAGUUGUUUGGGAAUGCAGCUCAAAUAGGGUGGUAAACUCCAUCUAAAGCUAAAUAUGGGCGAAAGACCGAUAGCGAACAAGUACCGUGAGGGAAAGAUGAAAAGCACUUUGAAAAGAGAGUUAAACAGGACGUGAAAUUGUUGAAAGGGAAGCGCUUGGAGUCAGUCGCAUGUCCCUCCAGAGUCAGCCCCGCAGUCAUGCGGGGUGCAUUUCUGUGGGGGAUGGGCCAGCAUCGAUUUGAACCGUUGAACAAGGGUGGUGAGGCCUUCCUUUUGGGAAGCCCCUGCCGUCGCUAGCAAGGGUUUGGAUCGAGGGCCGCAGCACGCCCUUUGGGUCGUCUCUGACGGCUUGGUGGGUCCCGGGGGUUUAUCCCACGAUUCUAAUGUGCUUAGGAUGCUGGCGUAAUGGCUUCAAGCGACCCGUCUUGAAACACGGACCAAGGAGUCUAACAUGCCUGCGAGUGUUUGGGUGGAAAACCCGAGCGCGCAAUGAAAGUGAGAUCAGACUUGUUUUGAGAGUUGGGAACCGCCUUGGAGUGCGGUGCACCGACGCCCGGGCCAGAUGCCAUUACCGGCUGAAGGCCCCGAGGUGGAGCAUGCAUGUUGGGACCCGAAAGAUGGUGAACUAUGCCUGAGGAGGGUGAAGCCAGAGGAAACUCUGGUGGAGGCUCGUAGCGGUUCUGACGUGCAAAUCGAUCGUCGAACUUGGGUAUAGGGGCGAAAGACUAAUCGAACCAUCUAGUAGCUGGUUCCUGCCGAAGUUUCCCUCA